CCCCCCCCAUCUUUUUUGGGGGGGGAAACCCCAGCAACCCGGAAGGGGGACAGCGGCGAACGGGUUUUUGACAACGUAGGUAAUGCCCCCUAAAAGCGAGGACAGCCACGGGAAACUGUGGGUAAUACUCGAUAAUCUUCCCAAUCAUUAUGGAAGGGGAAGCAAUGGGUGUGAUUCCACCUGAGGAGCGGCUUACGCAGUAUCAGCUAGUUGGUGAGGUAACGGCUCACCAAGGCUAUGACGCUUAGGGGGUGUGAGAGCAUGGCCCCCACCACUGGCACUGAGAUUUUGGCCAGACACCUACGGGUGGCUGCAGUCGAGAAUCUUCGGCAAUGGGCGCAAGCCUGACCGAGCGACGCCGCGUGCGGGAUGAAGGCCUUCGGGUUGUAAACCGCUGUCAGAGGGGAUGAAGUAUACGGGAGUUAUCUCCGGUAUUUGACAGAGCCCUCAGAGGAAGCACGGGGCUAAGUUUCGGUGCUACCAGCCGCAGGUAUAACGAACUGGGCGAAACGUUAUCCGGAAUCACUGGGCUAAAGGGUGCGUAAGCGGGUUCCUAGACAAGGGGGAAAACCUUCCGCUU
rnacentral:rRNA from 1 species